CCCAGACUCCUACGGGAGGCAGCAGUGGGGAAUAUUGCACAAUGGGGGAAACCCUGAUGCAGCGACGCCGCGUGAGUGAAGAAGUAUUUCGGUAUGUAAGGCUCUAUCAGCAGGGAAGAAAAUGACGGUACCUGAUUAAGAAGCCCCGGCUAACUACGUGCCAGCAGCCGCGGUAAUACGUAGGGGGCAAGCGUUAUCCGGAUUUACUGGGUGUAAAGGGAGCGUAGACGGUGAUGCAAGUCAGAAGUGAAAGCCCGGGGCUCAACUCCGGGACUGCUUUUGAAACUGUGUGACUGGAGUGCAGGAGAGGUAAGCGGAAUUCCUGGUGUAGCGGUGAAAUGCGUAGAUAUCAGGAGGAACACCAGUGGCGAAGGCGGCUUACUGGACUGUAACUGACGUUGAGGCUCGAAAGCGUGGGGAGCAAACAGGAUUAGAUACCCGCGUAA
rnacentral:rRNA from 1 species